rnacentral:rRNA from 1 species
CUCAAAUUUGAAAUCUGGCACCUUCGGUGUCCGAGUUGUAAUUUGAAGAAGGUAACUUUGGAGUCAGCUCUUGUCUAUGUUCCUUGGAACAGGACGUCACAGAGGGUGAGAAUCCCGUGCGAUGAGAUGUCUGAUUCUAUGUAAAGUGCUUUCGAAGAGUCGAGUUGUUUGGGAAUGCAGCUCUAAGUGGGUGGUAAAUUCCAUCUAAAGCUAAAUAUUGGCGAGAGACCGAUAGCGAACAAGUACAGUGAUGGAAAGAUGAAAAGAACUUUGAAAAGAGAGUGAAAAAGUACGUGAAAUUGUUGAAAGGGAAGGGUUUGAGAUCAGACUUGGUAUUUUGUAUGUCUUGCUUUCGGGUGGGGCCUCUACAGUUUACUGGGCCAGCAUCGGUUUGGACGGUAGGAUAAUGACAUUGGAAUGUGGCACCACUUCGGUGGUGUGUUAUAGACUUUGUUGAUACUGCCUGUCUAGACCGAGGACUGCGUCUUUGACUAGGAUGCUGGCAUAAUGAUCUUAAACCG